rnacentral:lncRNA from 13 species
AGAACUUGAGGCCCUGAAGGGCAUCUCGGGGGGCCCAACUCUGUCUGUGAGCACCUCCUUGAGGCAGACCAGGCUCCCUGUGUGGGCUUGGUGUCCCAGCUCUGGUUCCCUGGGGGUGGGGUAUGUUGAUGGCUCCUUUCUGACUGGUUUCUUCCCCGGUGUGUUUCAGUGAGCUCUUCUACCCAGGUGGGCCCUGGGGGCUCAAGCAGCAUAUAGGUGGUGAGCCUGGAGGAAGACCUGUGUUGGGUGUACAGGCCCAGGGCCAGUGUCCAUCAGCAUGGUGCUCAUCCCUUGGUGCAUUGAAGCUCGGACUCUCUCUGGAACCCUGGUCUCCUGCACUGAGCUGUGUGAGCUCUUCCACCCGGGCAGGCCCCCUGGUAUUCAGUGGCAUAGGUGAGUGGAUUCUGCUGGUGUCCUGGGCCAUGAGCCAGGCCAUUGUGGGGUCAAGGGUCAGCCUAUGGGGUACUAGGGUUUCCUCGGGGAGCCAACCUGCACUCCCACCAGAGAGGCAUGGGUUCUCUAGGAGAGAGGCUUCUUUGUGAAUGGGACCUUCGGAAGAUACCUUCCCUGAGGCCUGCAGGGGUUACAGUGGUCCAAACAGGAAUGGUUUCCUUGAGCCUCACCCAGGGGAGCGCCCAGCUGAGACUCAGUGCUCUGGUCAGGCCUUGAGGACUGCCCAGGCCACAUGAGGGGGCCAGAGGGAGUUCUUGGUCUCCUGAGUGUGGUAUGUGAAUCUGCCUGUGCGGUUGGGUCGUGGAGACUCACGGAUAGCGCCCCACCCACGACUGAUAGAAAUCAUCCCUGCUGAGCAGUGGGCCAUCCCAGUGGGCUUCCUGGAGCCUGGUGGGGGUGGUGUCAUGUCCCUGGUGUUGGGUUAUGAAUGGGGACCCACCGAGAAGUCACAUGGCUCUAAUUUCCAUUGUGUACUUGGAGAGGGCGCCCACCACCCUUAGUGGCAGGCUCUGUGACUGCCAGGUCUGCAGUGGUUUCUGGCAUCAGGGCUAGCCUCCUUGGUUGGCCAUGAGGUGGUUGGUUACCCUGGUCCCUCCCCCGUGAUUCUGCUGCAGCC